UGGGGAAUAUUGGGCAAUGGGGGAAACCCUGACCCAGCAACGCCGCGUGAGGGAAGAAGGUUUUCGGAUUGUAAACCUCUGUCCUUGGUGACGAAACAAAUGACGGUAGCCAAGGAGGAAGCCCCGGCUAACUACGUGCCAGCAGCCGCGGUAAUACGUAGGGGGCAAGCGUUGUCCGGAAUGACUGGGCGUAAAGGGCGUGUAGGCGGCCGAUUAAGUCUGGAGUGAAAGUCCUGCUUUCAAGGUGGGAAUUGCUUUGGAGACUGGUUGGCUUGAGUGCGGAAGAGGUAAGUGGAAUUCCCAGUGUAGCGGUGAAAUGCGUAGAGAUUGGGAGGAACACCAGUGGCGAAGGCGGGUAACUGGACUGCAACUGACGCUGAGGCGCGAAAGUGUGGGGAGCAAACAGG
rnacentral:rRNA from 2 species